GUCGUUUUCAUUUUAUUUUUCUUCUUUCCUCUCUUUCCCCCUUCUCCUCCCAUUUCUUCGCCAUUCUCCACCAUUCUGCACCAUUAUCUUCAUUCGUCGUAAGCAGGUCGAAAGCACUACGCUAGGCUUUCUUUCUUUAAGCUUGAUUUGAGUGGAAGCUGAAGCAAGAGGUCUUCAAAGAACUUUUGUAUAAUCAAACUUCCAUUUCAUUGUUCUCUAAGGCCAAGUCUCCCAAGCCUGAUUCCAUGUUACCGGCCUCCGAUCACCGCCACUGCCUCAAGCCCACGUCCUCAACAGAUAAAACCGACAUCGCACGUCCUCUCUCGUCACUAAUUAUGAUCUUUUAACGAGCUCCCACCGCCUCUGACUACCCAAAACGCCUUCCAACUACAAUCAUGGUCCUCCUAAUUGAUGAGUUCGUUCAUUUUUCCUUCAUCGUAGUAAAAUUCAGCCGGCGUCGGAGGGGGAUAGCUUCUGAAAGAGAAUCAUCCGAUUUUGUUCAUCGCCAUCAUGGGACUGUGUGCAGAGAGAGAGAGAGAGAGAGAGAGAGAGAGUAUCAAUUUGGUUUAGCCCAUCCUUUUACGUUUUACCCCCAUGGAUUUAGGGUUUCUAAACCCAUGGGCUUGACUUUUGAUCCCAAGAAAGCCAAUCCCAAUUAACUAUAUUCCAAGCCCACGCUAUUCUAGGGUUUAUUUUUUUUAGUGUUUCAUCCUCUUCAAAUGUCCCAAAAAUCGUUGCAGCUGCGUUUAUCCCUUCAUUUCUCUUUACUUCUUCUCAAUAAUCCUCCUCUGUGUUCUUAUUAGUGAAUUGGAUCCUGAGGUUUUUUCUUCUAAGAAGUCUUGAAGGACAAUUCUGCCGUUUCAGAAUGUGGACAAGUGGAUGCCAGUCUUUGACAUUUUCCACACGUGUUUAUGUAUACAACAACUUUAGUUCCGCGAAGCAUCGACGGAAUCCUGUUUUUGCUUCAACAAACAAAUCGGCGGUAGACCUCUCAUUACCAGCCAAGGGACCGUUAUAUGUCUGGAAAAAGAAUUUGGUGGAUUAGAUCAAUAAUUUCCCCAAGGUGUUCAUCGUUGCUCGAUAGUAUUUAUUAUUGUUAUCCGAACUACAUCCGAACUCCACAUUCUAUAGAAUCCAACUCAGUUGAAUUCACUGUAUGGGUAUAUUCUCGCAUUUCUUUGCUUGAUGUAUUCAUUAUGGAUGUGUUGUUGAGUUAUGUCUAUUUUGACUAGAAGGCUGCACUUUUCAACAGAAGGUUGCAGAAGUGCAGCUAAUUCGUGAUUAAUAUUGCACUGGAUAGAUGGGGUCGUGCUAAUAAACAAGGUUCCAUAGAUUCCAUUGGAUAUUUGAGACAUGUGCCAAUAAGGUACAAUUAUUAUAUGAUGGAGAUGUAACCAUGACUGGUAUCACUUUUGAAUGCAAUAUUCAUAAAUUUAUUCGUA